GAUCAGCGAUCGGUAAUUCCGGUUAGCAGCAAUGCGACAGAGAAGGGAGAAUUUCAUAUUAUUUUGUUUUGUUUUGUUUUUGUUACUGUGAAAAGACUACAAUGUCCUUCCCUAAUACUCCAUGUAGCCGCUUCGUUUCCGCCCCUAAUUACACUAAUUAAUUACAGGCCGCGGAGGGAGACAACACCAUGAUGCAUGGAGCUAGGGAGCAUGAAGGCCAAGAAUUAGCAGUAACGCAACCCCAUUUGAUCCAUAAACGGGAUUCCUUUGGUUUUAAGCUAACCUUAAGCCAGGCGGGCCUCGUGCCUUUA
rnacentral:lncRNA from 1 species